AACGAACGCUGGCGGCGUGCCUAAUACAUGCAAGUCGAGCGAGAAAGUGGCUUCGGUCAUGAGUAAAGCGGCAGACGGGUGAGUAAUACAUAGGUAACCUACCCUAUAGUUGGGAAUAACCUUCCGAAAGGAGGGCUAAUACCGAAUGAGACCACAGUAUCUAAGGAUACCGGGGUUAAAGAAGGCCUCUAUUUAUAAGCUUUCGCUAAAGGAUGGGCUUAUGCACCAGUUAGCCUGUUGGUAGGAAUGGCCUACCAAAGCUAUGAUGGUUAGCUGAUCUGAGGAGGUUGAUCAGCCACACUGGAACUGAGACACGGUCCAGACUCCUACGGGAGGCAGCAGU
rnacentral:rRNA from 1 species